AAGUGGAAAGUAUAUAUUUAGGAUACUUCAGCCCCAAAUAGGCUUUGAAUUUUCUACCAAACUGUCUCAAGGCAGUUUGAUUUUUUCGGUACAGCUCGAACACAAUCGCUGCGUGCUUCUAUCCGCUUGAAAUUGAUAGUUCUCGAUCUUUACUAAUCUUAAAGUCAUAACACAGGGCCAUUUGAUUGCAAUUUGAAGCAGUUUCCGGAAUUGAGAACCCUUGGGCCCAUCAAACCAGCUUUUGGUUGUUACUGGGAAUAUUUCCGAUCAAAUAAUGCAUUUUAUGGAAUUUUGGUACAUACCUAUGUACAAUGUACGAAAUGUCACGGAAUGUACGAAUGUAGUGUGCAGAUCUGAUUUUAAAGGACAAAUACUUUGGGGCUCCAGCACGGCGGAUAACUUUCACUGUUCAUUCGCGUACGUGCGAGUGUGCGAGUGUGUGUAACCAAUGCCGCCGAUGACAAAGAAAUUAAAACC
rnacentral:sRNA from 1 species